AUUGAACGCUGGCGGCAUGCUUUACACAUGCAAGUCGAACGGUAACAGGUCUUCGGAUGCUGACGAGUGGCGAACGGGUGAGUAAUGCAUCGGAACGUGCCCAGUCGUGGGGGAUAACGCAGCGAAAGCUGUGCUAAUACCGCAUACGAUCUAUGGAUGAAAGCGGGGGACCGUAAGGCCUCGCGCGAUUGGAGCGGCCGAUGUCAGAUUAGCUAGUUGGUGGGGUAAAGGCCCACCAAGGCGACGAUCUGUAGCUGGUCUGAGAGGACGACCAGCCACACUGGGACUGAGACACGGCCCAGACUCCUACGGGAGGCAGCAGUGGGGAAUUUUGGACAAUGGGCGCAAGCCUGAUCCAGCAAUGCCGCGUGAGGGACGACGGCCUUCGGUUGUAACCGUCUUUAGUAGGGUAAGAAGCGAAAGUAGACGGUACCGUA
rnacentral:rRNA from 1 species